rnacentral:rRNA from 1 species
GAUGAACGCUGGCGGCAUGCCUAACACAUGCAAGUCGAACGAAGCCUUCGGGCUUAGUGGCGCACGGGUGCGUAACGCGUGGGAAUCUGCCCUUGGGUUCGGAAUAACAGUUAGAAAUGACUGCUAAUACCGGAUGAUGUCUUCGGACCAAAGAUUUAUCGCCCAAGGAUGAGCCCGCGUAGGAUUAGGUAGUUGGUGGGGUAAUGGCCCACCAAGCCGACGAUCCUUAGCUGGUCUGAGAGGAUGAUCAGCCACGCUGGGACUGAGACACGGCCCAGACUCCUACGGGAGGCAGCAGUGGGGAAUAUUGGACAAUGGGCGAAAGCCUGAUCCAGCAAUGCCGCGUGAGUGAUGAAGGCCUUAGGGUUGUAAGGCUCUUUUACCAGGGAUGAUAAUGACAGUACCUGGAGAAUAAGCUCCGGCUAACUCCGUGCCAGCCGCCGCGGUAA